rnacentral:rRNA from 1 species
UACGGAGGGUGCAAGCGUUGUCCGGAUUCACUGGGUUUAAAGGGUGCGUAGGAGGGUAGGUAAGUCAGUGGUGAAAUCUUCGAGCUUAACUCGGAAACUGCCGUUGAUACUAUCUAUCUUGAAUACCGUGGAGGUGAGCGGAAUAUGUCAUGUAGCGGUGAAAUGCUUAGAUACGACAUAGAACACCAAUUGCGAAGGCAGCUCGCUACACGAAUAUUGACUCUGAGGCACGAAAGCGUGGGGAUCAAACAGG